CCUGAAUCUUUUCCAACUUUUGAUUUGGUUCUGUUUAUGUCUUCUAUCGAUUGAAUGUUAUAGUUUUUAGAUUUCUCCAAAAUUAAAAUUUUAGUAUAUUUAAUUCAGGAUUGAAUGUUAGUUUUUUGAACUUUCCAGUAUUGGCAACAAUCUUUGAUUAUACACAAGCAGAACAUAUAUAUAGUUUGAGAAUCAUACAGACGGUAGAUUUUGAGAAUCAUGUUGCUCUAUAACUUAUACAUCUCUAUGUCUGUUUGUUGUUUUUGUUUCCAAAUGCAUAAUGGUCUCUACAUCUCUUCGCUUGAUAUUGUUGUGAGAUCAUUUGUUCUGUAGUUCAUCGUAACCAAUCAUGUCUCUCUUGGUGAAGAGCAUAAAAAAAACAGAGCACAGAGUCAUCCACUGUUGUGCAUAAGAUGGAAAGUGGUGAGCAAGUCACUUAGAAAAUGACUUCAAUGGAAAAGAAGAGGAAAAUCAUAAACGAGUUCCUUAAUCCAAGGUGAAUGUUGGAUUUCGGGCCCAUAAGAUGCCUUUCAUUUUCGCACAUUCUCUCUUGGCCCUAGAAUCGCUCUCUUCCUCCUUGAUGUCUCUCUGCUAGGGCUCUUUGUAGUUCUAACGGCAGUUUUAUUGACAGGAAUGUCCAAAGCUUUCUCAAAUAUUCCACCACUCUUCCAAACCUUUACGUGGUAGAGGGAUUUGAUUCAAUGGCUCUCACUUCAUGACCAUCACGGGUAUCUGCAAAGCUAUUCUUAUGCUAUUCUCCAUUGAUGCCGCAUUAGAAUUUUAAGGUCUAUGCUACUUUAUUCACUCCAAUCGCGCUAAGGAUUUCGUGGAUGACCAAGUGUAUCUGAUCGACUCCUGAGGAUGACCACUAGAGCGACUCCAAUACUAUAACGGACGAUAUCAAUGUCGCCGAAGUCAUAGGAGAUGAAGCGCAAAGACGAAUGUCAUCCAUGACUAUUGGUGCUAUUGGUUCGUUGUUGUUCGUGAAACAUGGAAGUUUUUUUAAAUUAUAGCAAAAAGUCUUAGCUAGAAUUUUAUCAUGAUGACUUUGAUUCUCUAAACUCUACUUUUUGAAAGUUAUUCACUUCUUAAGUGAAACAUGUAUUUGGACCGAGUUAACUAAUAGGAUGGUAUUGACAUUUUUGUAAA